rnacentral:rRNA from 1 species
GAUGAACGCUGGCGGCGUGCCUAAUACAUGCAAGUCGAGCGAAUGGAUUAAGAGCUUGCUCUUAUGAAGUUAGCGGCGGACGGGUGAGUAACACGUGGGUAACCUGCUCAUAAGACUGGGAUAACUACGGGAAACGGGGGCUAAUACCGGACAACAUUUUGAACCGCAUGGUUCGAAUUUGAAAGGCGGCUCCGGCUGUUACUUAUGGAUGGACCCGCGUCGCAUGAGCUAGUUGGUGAGGUGACGGCUAACCAAGGCAACGAUGCGUAGCCGACCUGAGAGGGUGAUCGGCCGCACGGGGACUGAGACACGGCCCAGACUCCUACGGGAGGCAGCAGUAGGGAAUCUUCCGCAAUGGACGAAAGUCUGACGGAGCAACGCCGCGUGAGUGAUGAAGGCUUUCGGGUCGUAAAACUCUGUUGUUAGGGAAGAACAAGUGCUAGUUGAAUAAGCUGGCACCUUGACGGUACCUAACCAGAAAGCCACGGCUAACUACGUGCCAGCAGCCGCAGUAA